UAUUGCAAUCAUUUGUAGUGUAAUGUAACAAGACAGUGCAAAACAUUAGUCCACAUACUAUAGGAACACUGGUUCAGCUUUGCCAAUGAGCUCCUCCUCUUUAUGAUGCUGUAAUGAACAGGAAUGAAGAGUCAACCCCUCAGCCUCAUAACACAGCCAGAGAGAGUGGCGCAGGACCCACACAUCCCUUCAAAAAGCUUCAGCAACAUUGUCUUGCUCUAUGUAGUGGGCCUUACAAGCAACAGGAAGUGCAGAACUUUGUGAUAAAUGUUUCCUUCAAGGUUUAUCUUUUAAUGCCUUGGGAGGAUGGCAGAAGUUGCAGAUGGAGAGAAAGAGAUUCAAUUCCUGCGUACGGAAAAAACUGAAGUGGUGCACAAGUGAGAAGUGGAGGGCAUGGGCACGCCUGAGAUUAAGUACGUAUGGAGAGUCCAUGUGCUUUGUACAGCAUGUUCAGUCUGGUCCCUGGCUUACAUAUACUGCUGUUGAUGCCAAAUCUGCUCGUCUGGGGUCUUUAAAGAGAAAGAGAUCUAGAUGCUCUGAGUGGGAAAAACAAAUCUGCCAAUCCCCCAUCUCUGCCUAUGGACACAGUGGUGCUCUCCCUGCAGGAUCUCAUUUUCUACUUCCGACCCCCCGAGGAGGAGCUGGAGCAUGAGGACAAACAGUUCAAACUUCGCUCCCUCAACAACAGACAGAACCUCUUUCAAGAAGAGGGAAUGAUUACUCUUGUUCUGGACUGUGUUGAUCGGCUCAAUGUCUACAACACAGCAGCCCACUUCUCUGAGUAUGCCGGGGAAGAGGCCGCAGAGUCAUGGAAGGAGAUAGUAAAUUUGCUCUAUGAAUUGUAGGUACAGUAUGUCCAUCUGCCAAUUUAUUGUGAUGGUGAUUAUAUUAUAUCAAUUACAUUUUAUUGUUUGUGAAUAUGAUGCAUUAACUGUCUUUUCUGCCUCUUUUCUUUUGUGAAGCUUCUUUGAUCAGAGGUAAUUGUGCUAACUGUGCCUUGUUCUGUGAUAAUCUUGACUGGCUGGUCAGUAAAUUGGAUUGUUUGGAGGCAUCUUCAGGUAUCUAAGACAACUGAAAGCUCAUUUAAAUGUACAUUACUUGUUUGGUCCUCUCAAAGCCAAAAUAUGUUAAGACUGACCACAGAACUGAAUGAUGAAAGCUUGUGUGUUGCUCACUGGUAUAGUGUUCAUAUAAAUUCCUGUCAUUUGAAAUUUCAGUUUGAUUGGUUACCAACAACAUGCACUGGGCUAUCAAUAUACCAAGAAUAUGAUGAAAUUUAAACUAAUUCUUUUCUAACAUACCAUAUAACCUGGGUACUGCCAAUGAUUAUGUGUAUAUUGUCACGUUUUUAUGACAGGGAUACUGGAGGUGUUGUAUUGUGUUCUGAUUAAGCUCUCUCUUUUUCUUACGAA